CCUAUGCAGGGGGUCGGACUCGAUGAUCUAUUGAGGUCCCUUCCGACCCUAAGAUCUAUGGAUCUAUGAGGAGGGUAGUAAGCACUGAAACAGGCUACCUAGAGAAGUGGUGGACUCUCCAUCCUUGGAGAUUUUUAAGACCUGUAUAGACAAAGUUUUGGCUGGGAUGAUCUAAGUGGGGAUGGUCUUGCUUUGAGCAGGGGGUUGGGCUAGACAUCCUCCUGAGAUCUCUUACAACCCUCAUUUUCUUUGAUUUUCUAUGAUAAACCAGGUUAGACUUGUUCCAGAAAGGAUACAGCAACAGGUAUCAUCACUUCUAAUUGUAAAUUUGGAAGAACCACAGGUGCUUGCUCUGACCAACUGUUAAUAACAAUUUUAUUCCUAGGGCUACUGCUAAUUACAAAACAAGCUGAUCUAAUUAUAAACUAGAUAAGAUGUAUUUAACAGAUAUAGGUAAUUUGAAAACUAUAGCAGUUAUUACAGAUCUCAAGCACUCAACGAAACACUUCAAAUAUUUUCCCCAACUUGGUUUACUAAAUUACAUUUUCUCUUUCUUUUGCUUUUAGUGGACUUUUCAAAUGAUCUCUGCUAGUUGUCUGAAUGCUUCCUACUCUUCAUAAAAAUUCAUAGCAUCCCAAUUCACUUUGAGCAGCUGACAGCUCUCAUUUGAUUUUUAGCUCUUCCUUUAUAACUGGAGGUUUCUGAUUUUGUUGUUGUUGUUCAUUCGCUUGCUCAUAUGGUCAUAGCAUAUGGGCAGCAACUCUGUGACUAAGAAAAUCAGUCAGUAGGAGGAGACAUGGUCAGGCAGAGUAGACAAAACUAGAGAGAGAGGUUCAUCUUAAAAAGGAUAAAAGAAUUUCCUCAAGAGAGAAUAUUUCAUAUCUUUAAAUAUUAAAAUAAUUAUUAAAGCAAAGCUUGUAAUAGUAUCAUUUGGUGAUGCCAGCUAAUAUUGCAGUAUUCAUGUUAACAGAAGUGCAAAAGAUCUGAGAAAGCUAGGACUCCCAGAGAAAGUGCUCAGAUUUUAAAUAACAGGGUAAUAGGGAUCAAUAUUAAAUCAUGUGCUGUAGACAAAUAGGAGCUUUAGUCAUGAAAAAUUAAACAGGAUUCACAGAAACAUAGACAACUCAUUAGUGUUUGUUGUGUGCAGCCUUUAUAUUCGUAGUAUGAUAAAGGGGCUGUCAGAUACACUUAUUGAACCUGCAUGAAAUCAUGGUUAAGCAGUGUUGUUAUCCAGUCCUGGUAUACCCAUCAGACUGAUACCCAGUGUUGUUAUCCAGUCUGAUACCCAUCAGACUCUCAGUAGCUUUUUUGAAGUAGGGCUAUCUAACACUACAACUGUGAACAGUGUCAGUCCAUUCCGGCUGUGCUCUGAUGUCAGUGUUCAAUAGCCCUAUUUCUGCAAACCGUAGCCCAUCGGUGGAUUGCUGACAUGGGCUGUAAUAAAAUCUUGGUAAUAAGAUGAUGCUAAUGGCGAUACAUUUUCACUUUCCACAGUUGCCCAUUUAGGGAUGCUGGAAAAACUAUAGGCAACCUUUUUAGAAAACACAGAAAUAGGAUUGGCUAGGGUUUUAACCUAUCACCUGUGAUUUUGCUGCCACGAAAGCAGCCUUGUCACAAAUGUAUUAACCUAUAUUUCAACCAGCUUACAACAUAAUAGGUAAACUAAUACCAUUAUCCCUGACAUCCAUGCAAGCUAUCAUGGUAGGCAAUGAGACAGACGAAAUUACACAAAGGGAUGGUAAGGCAUAUUUUAAAGGACAUCUCAGCAUGCAGGCUUAGCCACUGGCUUUAUGAUUUCAGUGAACAGGAACUGAUGCAGUUCUGCAUACUGGGACAGAGAACUUUACCAAUGGAAAUAGUAGACUUGAGGUUGCUGUCAGCACUCACAGUUGUUUUUUACAUUACCACACUGAUAUUUCACUAUAUUUAACUUAAAAAAUGAAGUCAGUAUAAUGUAACCUGGUAAGCUACAUUGCCAAGGCAUGUUUCUCUGCCGCAGAGUAAUCAUUUUUAUUGGCCAUGCAUUCUUGUCUCAUGAAUGUAGUCAGUCUGCAUUCAGAGGUAGGGAUGUGCACGUGUGUGUUUAUGUGCAGCUGGCACUCACUGUGCGGACUUCACUCACUGGGAGAAUUAGGAAGAACGCUACAGUUAAUUACCUGAAUGUAUAUAAUAGUAAUAAUGGCUCUGGUGCAUAUUUUUUCUCCAUCCCCUUUUCAGCAGAGUAGCAUAUUAUUUGAUGUGCUAUGAUUGCAAGCUGUGGCCCGCAGUGAUUUGUUAUUCUACAGUACUCCUUAAUUUUUGGUAGGACCUGGCACCUAAUAGCAGCCAGGAUAUGUUAAAAUACUGUUGGCAGCUGUCAACCAGCUGUCACCAUUAUGCUUGCAAUACUAAUCACAAUACCUACAUGGUCACUGGUGCUAGCAUGUGGUCUACCACUGGAUAAAUCUCUUUUGUCAGAGAAUAUAAUAUGUUCUGGAAAUACUGUGGUCACUGUCCUGAAGAGCAUUAUACUUUGGAUUCACAGGAGCUGGGAAACUUCACUCAGGAUAAUCUAUGAACCUAGAUGUGAUUCUGGGCAGUACCUUGACCCAUGAAUGCAACUGAAAAUAUACUUAGGAAAUUCAUUAGAAUAUUAAUAGUAAUAGAAAAAUACCAGCAGGAAGUUCCAUUCCACUUCAAUUCUGAUAUCUCAUUGACAUUCCACUGUUUAACAGAUGAAUUCCAAUGGAAAUAUUCCUUGUUUACACAAUUUUAAGUUACUGACAUAUUAACAUGUUUUAUUCACAAACAUUGCUAUGAAUGUGAAAAUAUUUACUAUUAUGCUCUGUAAUAUACUGUGCAAGCUGCAUUUCUGCAUGAUUUAAAUCAUUGCUAAUGUAUCAAAAAUGUCAUGGCAACUGCAGCCUAAGUCACUAGCAUUCAAUUAGCUCAGCCCUAUGAGUAGACUGGAUUUAUUUGAAGCGUUUAAUAGAUUAUAUAAAAGUAAGGAGAUUUAGAAAAUAAGCAUUGACAAUGAAUUCAGACCAGUGGUGUUUCUAGUCCAUUUAUCUUGUCUUUGUGGGGGGGGGCAGACCCAGGCACAUAUGGGGAAGGUAUAAAACUCAUAUAAUUAACAACUGUUUCAAUAAUACACUUGUGUGGGAAGAUGCAGCUACUCACUAUUGUAAACUGAGUACAUAAACUUGUCAUAUCAUCACAUUAAAAUAGCUUGCUUUAUGCUGACUCUAAAAAUAUAAAAUUUCUAAAUGUUAAUACUAAUACUGAUUCUUUAAUGAUUCUAUCUUCUGUAGAAGAAAUCCAGUUUUGGGAUGGCCAUCAGUCAUCAACCAUUAAUCAUACCUAUGCUAGUUUAUCUCAAGUCCUGAUAUAUAGGCAGACAAGGUUCCUUGGGUGAAUUUGAUAUCUUUUAUUAGACCAACCUAAAUGGUUGGAGAAUAGUUAUUAAGCAAGCUUUCAUGCACUUACAAAAAUCAAUGCAAUUUAUUUAAUCACACAGACAAAAACAUUUGCAUUAAUGUCAUCAAGUGCUUUCUGACAAUUUCUGUGUAAAAGCUGCGGUAUAUGAGGAUCCUUAGAAAACAUGACAUGAAAACACUUUUGCAGCAUGGAGCAAUAGUAUGGUUGUUUUUUUGAACGACUAUUGAAUUGGUUUGCAUUAACACAGUAUUUAGUUUAUUUUUUCUUUCUGAAUAAUGAUACCUGGAUAGUAGUAUUGAAUACAACACUGGAACAAUAUUGGUGUGUGUUUUUGACUUUGCAGUUUGGUCCUGUUAUUUAUGAAUAUACUUGUUUUGAAAUAAGUGAGAAGUAUCACAAGCAAACAAAUAGCAGUCUAUAGAUUAAGCUGUAAAACUGAUUCCAAUAAACAUAUUUGAUAUAGUGUAUGUGCAUUUGACCAUAUAUUCUAACCACCUCUGAAGCAUCAUGAAUAAACUCAAAUAUGUUUGAAUCAGCCUCAAGUAAUGAAUGGAGCUUGUUCUACUGGAUGUGUAGUUCUUAUACCAUAAUAAAAUGUAUAUUCAUGUAUAGUGUGACACCCUCUGUAAAACAGCAUGCUAGAUUUAUAACAUUUCCUUACACACCCCUCCCAACAUCCCUUCUAACCUCUCCACACUCAAUAAUCCCCCUUCUCUUCAUGCAGUUUAAUUGGAGUCAGAACUUCUGAUAUGACCAAGGACAACACCUGGCAAGAUUGGGAUGGAAAUAUAAAGGUGGUAUGAAGUUCACUUUUUUGAGCUUGUGCCCUGUACUGUCAGCAGGAUCUUUUGUAUUGUUUCUUCUGCAUCCAGAUUUACUUCUGUAUGGAGGAAUGUUCAUAUCAGUUCAACACUGAUGCAAUUCAGGUUGCAUAAAGCAGUCAUCUUGCCCUGGAGGAUCCAGUUGGAUAUAUAUACACCGGCACAAUGGGUGACAUUCAGGGAUCACUAUUUACUGGUUUAGUUAGCACAGUUUAGUAAGAUAUGAGAGUUUCACCUUAUUAAUCAGCAUAAGAAUUCAAUACAGCAUGUGUGGUAUCUGUAAGCAACUGUGCCCACUGUUUCUGCAAGAUAACGUUUUAUAUAUCACAGACAUGGUGAAACUUUAUAGAAUGCAACUGCCUGUGCUGCUAUGCUUUUUUCCAUCCCAGUUUUUGUAUGCCUUCAGUUCUCCUUCCCUUUUAUUCUGUUUUCUUACUGUAUUUAUUUACCAUCCCCUUUUGAGUAAGAAACUUUAAAUCUUACUAAUAUACUAGAACUAUAUUUUUAAGGAUUGAUGUGCGCCUAAAGAUACUGGGAUUUUUAAAAGUGUCUAUAUCCUGAAUUCAUAUUAAUUUUAAUAGACAUUACAUAACUUGGUGCUUUCAAAAACGUCAUUAUAUGUCUGUCUGCAACUUUAGGCAUGUAAAUACCCAGCUCCUGGUUCAUUAACAUUGAAAUCCUGUUUUAAUCGUAAGAAGUUAUGUGAACAUGGGAAAAUGAGAACUGGCAUUUAUUGCUUACUAUUCCAUAGUACAGUUUCCAUUUUUUCUGGGUGGUUUUAUGCUAUUUAGGGCUUGUAUAUCAAACUCUCUCUCUUUUUUUUUUUCUACUGCAGAUAUUUGGUAAGAGAAGCACAACCUGUACACUUCAUCUGCCUUGAAAUGAGUCUGAAUUUUAAAAAGUCUAAAGAGAUUAAAACAAUUGUACAUGCUGGAUUUUUCUGAAGUUUAAUACUAUGUUGUGAAUGACUAAAUAGUAUUUAUUUACUACAUCUAUCAAUUUCAUUUUUAAUUCUAACUUCUUGUAUUACAGAACAAUAACACUUAAAUGUGACUAAAUUAGCAGAAGAUUGGCAAUUGGAGCAAUCUAUGGUUUUUCCUACCACAUGGAAUAGAUUGGAGAUGAAAUGAAUAUGAUUAAGCAAGCAUAAGGAAGUAACUGUUGUUAUUAGAUGCUUUAUUUGGAUGCUUUAUUUGUAUCUAUCAUCUUUCUGUGUGCUCUUUAUGCUAAAAUGUUUCUGCAGCGUACAUUCACCGUGGCUCAGUGAAAUGGAUGUUGCUCUUGAAGGAGGGACCCCUGAGUCCUAGUCUAAUCCCCUGCUUCCCAUGGGGCAGACACUUCUCCACUGUUUUUUCCAUUUGUUUUAUCCAAUGAAUAUGGUGCAGUGGCUCAGCUUCAAGAGGAAGCUUAGAAAAGGGGACUGGAUAUUGCCUGACAUGUGUUGGUUACAGUUAUAUAGUAGGUUAUAUCCCACUAUACUGUGAAGUCAAAGGGGGAUAAGGAACCUUGAAUCUGGAUCUCUAAUUUUGAGGUAAGUGCCCUAACAAUUUGGCUAUUGGAUUAAAGACUGGAAAUACACUUUUUUUUCCCCUCUUAUUUGUUGCCAGGCCAUAAUUUUGUGUCUCACUCUCAAGUAUGUAUGUGCAGAGUUCUAUACCUGCCCAGCAAAGUUGGCGCAUCCUGCACACACGGUAUGCAUCCCCUACCCAUGUAACUACCAUUUGGGUUAAUUUUUUUGAUAGCUAGUAAUUUUUCUUUCAAAUAUGGUUUCAGUUCAUGUAAGUUUGACCUAUAUUUCCUAAAUAAUUUUGGCUUUUUUUUGCAGAUAGUGACAAAACCCCAUUUAUUCAAUAUCUACAGAUGGUAGAGAUGAUGUCCUCCUUUUAAUCAGUAGCCCUUUAGUCAUUCAGUGCCCUCUCCCAGAGUGGAUAUGAUCAAACCUCAUUUACCUUGAAGGAGAAUGCCUGUCUAAUCACCAGAUGGAGAGAAAAUAGGUGUAGAAGUGUGAACAAAUUAAGGAAGGUGGAGAAAGGUGUGGUAAUGGAGAAGGUGCAACGCGUCCAAUUAUAGUGGCUUCUUCUAAAAAAUUGACUCAGAGCAGCGAUAGUGCCACAUCACCAAUUUCCAGCUCAUCCUGAUGCACCAGGGAAAUGCCUGUUCUUCUUCCGUCGUCUAGUAUCACUUGGCUAUGAGGAGCAUCAUGACCACCAAUCACCAGUUUCAGCAUUUAGGUAUGGACAUAGUACAUACAAUAAUAUUCUUUUGGUGUGCACUACUAGUAUAGCCACUCCUGUAUGAGCAACAAGAAAUUCACUUUGUCACUAACUUCUGCUUCAUGUGUUAGAGCACUGUAUUGGAUAUCCCAGGGAAGAUGGUACAGGUCUAGACUUUAGAAGAUGAUAAUGGUAGAAGAACUGUGAAGGUGCUGUUCCUAAAGCAGGACUGGCUAAAAUUGCCAUCUGUUUUACUUUAUGGCUGACUGGUGGCAACCAGUAUGAGAUGGAGAGGGAUGUUGGUUAAGCCAGUUUUCAUGAUUCAAUAUAACUCUUGCAGCGGUAUUCAAUACUCAGGGGGAUUCAACUAUGCCAUCUGGCCUGUGAGGGUGCCCACAUGUCUGAAAGUUUGGUGCCAGGAAAGUGGUGGAAAUUAACACCAUAACUGUUCCCCAGUGUCAAAUAUCUAAGCCCUGAGCACAAGGGCUCCGCACACAGGGAUUGGGCCACAGUAGGGCAGGUCGUUCACACAGGGAUUGGAACUGCAGACCAACUUGGCAUUGCUCAUCUGGUCCAUGGGGCCAAAAGGUUGGGCACCACUUCUCUACGGUAUUUCCGUUAGUGUGUGAUUUGAGCAACAUAAGCAUGGCAUGUCGUGCAGAUGAGUUCUGUCACUAUCAAUAUUGGCCCAGGCUACUAUAGUCUCCAGACCCCACUACCAACUCGCAUCUCUUCCUUGCUCUUUUAGCUUAUUUAUUUGGGUUUGCCCAUGGCAGCCUUAUAGCAACACAACUCAUUGGGAUAAUAUACUAUAAUCACUGACUCUUGCCUAACAGUUUCUUAGGACUCUAGGUUCCAGAAGUGUUUUACAAUUCAGGGCUUCUCAUUAGAGGCUAUUUGUUAUAUUCUUUUAAGGAUAUGUGAAAUUCCUUCUACAACACUAACCUCAACCAAGAUUUAUUAAAAACGGAAAGAAACCCAAAUUAAAACCAAAACAAACAAAAAACAGUUUGUUUAACAAAUCCAGAUUUACACUUCUGAUAAACCUAAACUAAAAUGUCCUUCUCAGUAUAGCUAUCCAGAGGGAGGAGUACAAAUAUUUUUCAUGUCUCAAGAGGUAUUUCCUUUCUCAUCAUUCUUCAUUCAGGCUGACAGCAUUGCCUUGACUAGAUAAUAACUAAUUGCUAUUUCCACUGAUGGACCUUCAGCUGAGUCACCUUGCAUGUCUAGCCCCUGUCUCCUUUGAUGGAGGGCAGUGAUCCACAUGCAGACCUUCCUAGACUCCUGGAUUUGGCACAAUCACGAGGAAAUUAUCCCAAACUACCUGAAAUUCCAAAGUGCAUCAUGAAACUUUGUGCUGAAAUUUAAGAAGGCCCAAAAUGGAAAUGCAGGAGAGACUGCAGAUUGCUUGUAAAGAACACAUUCAAGUAGUUUAGAUAUGAAAGGGAGAAGAGAGUUAGGGUAGCUGGAUAGAAUGUGGGAAAACAGGGGCUUGUUUGUUGGCUUCUUUUUAAUGAAAGAGUCUAAAGCAGGGGUGGGCGAAGUACAGCCCAUGGACUGGAUCUGGCCCACCAGGCCAUUCUAUCCAGCCUGCAGGACCCUUAAAAAGUGUAGAAAAUUAAUAUUUAUUUGCCCCUCAAAGAUGAAAGGAGCCAGUGUAGCAAAACCCCCAGUUUUUCUUUUUCUUUUUUUCUUUUAAACUGCAUUCCCUUCCCUUCCCCAACCAUUUCUGACUUUUUCUCUCCCUCUUUAUUCCCUAUAGAUAAGUGUAAGUGAGCCAAGACAUAGGAUAAGCUUCAGCAUUUUAUUUUGGUAGCAAGUUCUAUUUGUUUUGUUUUUUCUCCUUCUUUAUAUUGUAUAAUUAUUAUGUUUAUAUUGAUUUUUACUGUUCUAUAGUACUGUUUUACUGAUACUAUAUGAUUUAGGCCUACAUAUGCAAGUUAGCAUAUGUCAUGUCAAAUUUCCAUUUUGUCUGUCAAAUCUCCAUCUUGUCCCUAUGCCUCCAUCUUGUCCCUAUGCCUUGUUGUGUAACCUAUACCUACCCCUCCUAUGUAACUUGGUUCCUGAAUGAACGGGGAUGAAUAAGGGUGCUUGAGAGACAAAGGCAGUAGGUCUAAAAAUAGCUCCCUCUGAAUAGUUCCCUCCAUCAACACCAAUACCUGGACCAACGACCCAGCCCUUGGAACCACCCUCAGCAUUCAAGAAACAAAAGAUGAGGCAACCCACCAUUGUGCCAAGGCUGGACAUGCUCAGUAAGAACAUCUGGAAUCCCCUGGAACAGGACUGACCUUGCCUGGACAGGCCCUCCCCAUAGGAGAUCAGAGGUAGUCUGCCCCAUAAAAAGAGGUAGUGAAGACUGACUCCUUGGGACACCCUCUCCAUCUGGACCAGCACCAUGCCACACCACCUAUCCACCCAGAGGCCCUGCUGGUGACUUCCUUCUGGACAACACUUGCUGGACAAAGACCCAUUUCCAGCCUGGAUAGGUAGCUAUCACUGCCACCCUCUCUUCAACCAAGGACUUGGACUCUGCUUCUCUUCCCCACCUGGACUCCAACCCUUCCACUGAGUCUCUUUCUCCUGCUGCCAUUUUGAGUGCUUGUGUGUGUGUAUGUGGGAACCAAUAACUUCAUGGGGCUGUGUAGUGUGUUGUCUGUUUAAUAAACCUGUUAUUUUGAAACCUUGA